AGAGAUAUGGUGUAGCGGUUAUCACGUUUGCUUUACACGCAGUAGGUCCUGGGUUCGAUCCCCAGUAUCUCUA
rnacentral:tRNA from 1 species